CGGGACGUAGCUCAGUUGGUUCAGAGCACCGCCUUGACAGGGCGGGGGUCGGUGGUUCGAGUCCACUCGUCUCGA
rnacentral:tRNA from 1 species